rnacentral:rRNA from 1 species
AAUGAACGCUGGCGGCGCGCCUAAUACAUGCAAGUCGAGCGAGAAGACGUAGCAAUACGUUUGUAAAGCGGCGAACGGGUGAGGAAUACAUGGGUAACCUACCCUAGAGUGGGGAAUAACUAGCCGAAAGGUUAGCUAAUACCGCGUACGCUCCUUGGACUUCGGUUCAGGGAGGAAAGCGAUGCCGAGGGUAUCGCGCUCUUGGAUGGGCUCAUGUCCUAUCAGCUUGNGGUGAGGUAACGGCUCACCAAGGCUUCGACGGGUAGCUGGUCUGAGAGGACGAUCAGCCACACUGGCACUGCGACACGGGCCAGACUCCUACGGGAGGCAGCAGUGGGGAAUAUUGGGCAAUGGGCGAAAGCCUGACCCAGCGACGCCGCGUGGGGGAGUGAAGG